rnacentral:tRNA from 1 species
UCCUGGCCCGGCUGGGGCCGGCGCAGCUGCCGCUGUGGGUGGCGGUGGCCCGUGCCCGCGUUCAAGUCCGGGCGCCGGAGG